rnacentral:lncRNA from 1 species
AGCUUCAGAGCUUCCCUCCAGAAACUUGCCAAGUUCCAUAGCGCGUUGCUCAUCUUCAGGUAGCCUGUUAUGACUGAUCACGCCCUGCUUGUACCUAGAAUACAAAAGUAGAAUGAUUCAAAAGUUCUAAUGAAAAUUUUUGAAGCUUUUUCCUGAUUGGGUACUGAGAAAUGGACUUUGUCCUCGUGGCGAUAUAAACCGAUUGACAUGACUCUGAAAUGAAUUAUAAAAACCCUUGGUCAUUGGCUGUAUGCUCCUCACUUGAUGCACUGAUAAGGUCUAAAAAUGUGCUAGUAGUUGGAGCAGCUAACCAAUACUGUGCGUGUCUUCAGGAAAACAACUUGACUGUUUGGAAACUUGUACUGGAACCUGAAGAAUCGACGUGCCUCACCAAGGCUUGAAAUUGAAAGCUGAAACCAUACACCUCAGCUCUAAGCGGGAACAUGAGCUGCCACUUUGUAAGGCACUAUGCAAUUAGGAUAACUAUCGGUUCAGCUUCUACGUAGUGUAACAUGGUUCCAGAAACUCUUCUAGCCUCCUGUCUAUAUAUGCCAACAGGAAUCUUAGAACAACUACCAAGCAUGGCCAAGAACCCUUUCUAGGUUCUAUGAAAUAAGUAGAACUCUUCACAACACAUCUAGCUCUCCUUACAACCUAAUCAUGGCUUUUAGAUCAACUGUAAGUGAUUGCUAAUUAUCUGUUCAUUUCUUAAAGUUAUUUCCUGACUUGAUUGCUACAUUCUGCAGGGUUACUGGAAAUGGUUGACAAGUCGGUUAAGAGGAAAUGCACAUGCAACAUCAACCUCGCCAAAAAGGCAGGUGUAUGCAGGACCAGCAGCUGAUUUUGGCUAUCUUGAUCUUGUUGAAGAGGUGAGGAAGACGUCAGUGAAGGCUGAUUUCACAUACACCGGGGUUAAUAAUUUUACAAAUCUCACUGGGUUUAGCCUCCACAAAACAGCAGCUGCUGAAAGCACCAAAUGUUCGUGUCAAAAAGAAGUUAAGGGAAACAAUUCCUGAAGUAGUGGUACCAGAUAAAGUGGUUGACGAGGGCAAGAAAUUCGUUGAGAAAUCCUUCUACAGGAAGGCAGCUCACGUUCAGGAGUUUGAGAUUGGUAUUCAGUAUAUGCCUAAUCCCAUUUGCAAAGAUGUUUACGCUCACCCUCUCAAAGCAGAGACACUAAAAUCUGUGGGAAUAGAACCUCAGCAGCUUUGAUGCAUUUUCCUUUACCUUUUUGUAGAUUUAGGCACUUGUUUUCAAUCUUUUUUACAAACUUUUUUUUCCUCUUUAUCUUACCAAAGCUCGAGGCGAAAUUUUUGUACUCAUUGUAAAUUUCACCCUAGUUAGUGAUGAAUGCAAUGGUAUGUAGAUGAGGUUACUUUAAUGAGAUAGCUAAUAUUAAUUUCAUUGUGAAAUAUUAAUUUGUUCUUAGGUUUCUAAUUCUAUAGGGCUAGUUUCAGAAUGCUGCUAUGCUCCUUGCCUUGUUUCUGGUCUGAUUUUGUUGCGUUAUUCUAUUAGGUUUACUUUUGUCAGCUGAAGGAAGGAGUCGUUUCGUUUCUAGGUUUCCAACUCCAAUCUCCUGCAAUUCCAAUUCUUCCGAAAAAAUAGAAAAUGCAUUUGUUGCAGGGGAUGGCUUGCAUUAGCAUCCUGUGAACGGUUUGCAUGUAUUUGGUCCAAGUGAGAAAAAAUUUUCAUUAAAUUGCUGGAUCUGGAUAUUGUAGAGCAAAAGAGCCCGAAGGACUCCUACCAUGCACUCUUGUGGGAUCUCUGUCUGCCCCAACUGACCAGCUCAUGCAGAAAAGUUGGAGCAAUGAAGUUAUUAUACAGAGUUGGGGCUGGUGGGAGGGAGUCAUAUCCAUAUCCUUUGCAAUCUGAUCACAAAAACUUCUCUUUAAGAGUUUAGACGAUUAAGGUUUAUCAGGAAAAAUAGUAGAGUUGAGCUUUGCUCCCCGCUAAAAAGGCCAGCCCAGUUUUCCUUUCCUUGAACAAGAAAAUGUCAUGUUAUUACUUAUUACCACAGGUCUGUAGCAGGACAUGACGUGCCACUUCCUGAGCCUUCUACUUGAUGCUGUCUACUCUAACACUUCGAGGGUACGUGGAAGUAUGACAGUUGUUUUUUCUUUUUAUUUUAAAAUAUAUUAAAAUAAUAUUUUUUUUAUUUUUUAAAAAUUAUUUUUAAAAUUAAUAUAUUAAAAUAAUUUAAAAAUAUCUAAACCAUAUUAAUUUAAAUUAAAAUAAAAAUUUUUCAAAAACACUUUCCAACCCCACACUGCCGACAGCAACAGUCCCUGCAGAUUCCACACUCUGCUACGUGGCUCUAGAACUCUCUCCGUCUAAUCACCCUCUCCUUUUUAUACCCUCAAGAACCCAUAUCCUUCACCUCAGCAAGCGAACAAGCAAAGCAAAGCCAAGAAUCUUGAAAUAUUUACCUAAUCUUUGUGUUUCCCUCUUCAGGAAUCCCACCCAGCAAUAACAUGGCUUUUAGAUCAAUGGUGGGUGAAUUAUCAUUUUUAUUGCAAUCUUUAUCACGUUUAAGUGUACUUUACAUGUUUGCUUAGUCCCUGACUAAAUUUGUUCCUAUGGUUUGCAGGGAUAUUGGAAAUCAAUAGCUAGUCGCUUAAGUGGAACAACAACCUAUGCAACCUCAACCCCGCCAAAACUGAAAUCAUAUGCACCAACAGCUGAUCAGUUUGGACAUCACUAUCAUCAAGAAAGCAAGCAUGGCAAGAAGGUGAGAGGUGACUUUGUGCCAGUUUAUGUGGCAAUAGGGAUGAUAGCUGUAUCAAUAUCACUUGGUCUUUACACUGCCAAGCAACAAGUACUGUAUGCACCUAAUGUUCGCGUAAGGAAGAAGACUAGAGAGACCAUACCUGAAGUGGUUGAUCCAGAUAAAGUGGUGGAUGAAGCUGAUAAGUUCAUAAAGAAAUCAUUUUUCAGGAAAGUAGCACAUGUUCAAGAGUUUGAUCAUUAUGGACUUGAGUAUUUGCCUGAUCCUACUCGUAAAGAUGCUUUUGCACGUAAGCCUCGUGCUGAGAC